rnacentral:misc_RNA from 1 species
AAUGCGUGUGAAUAUGGAGCGUUGUGAAAAUUCAUUAAAUUAAUAAAUAAAUUGUACGAAAAACGCGAACAAUUUUAUAUAUAUUAAUAAUAACGCGCGUAGUGUGUUUAAUAUUUCAAAUUUUGUAAGAAGAAAGCUUUUAUCUAUGCGGUGGUGUCAUUUUAGAAUUUCUAAUAGUGCUGUCAGCUGCAAGGUGUAGCGACACGGUUGAAGAAAAACUCGCUGUUGGUUGCCUAGCGCAUAUACGUGAAGGAAACUCGUCGUCCGUGGUCAUUUUCAAGGAGAAACAGCAAAUCCAGCAAUGUGAAAUUCCAACAUAUAUUCACAAAUAUGUUUUUAUAGUUUUAUAUCUUAAGAAUCGUUGCCAAUUGAUUUGGUUUAAGGGCAUAGUUAGACAAUGGCAGGCGUAGACGUGAGUUAAACAGUUGGAAAAUUCAAUAAGCAAGUGAAAAAAAUGAAAAUUGGAAGUGCAUCAUUUGCCAUGUUUCGCAAGGGCAAUGUGCGGCAAUGGCAUAUUGCUUGAAGUGUAAUGUGUAGUUGAAACGAAAGUAGUGGAAAGUGUAGAAUUUAAAAAGCCGAAUUGAAAUACAAAAUAAAAGCUUUAAAUAUAUAAUACACAAAAAGUCAAGCAGAAAAUAAAAAAAUACAAAAAAGGCGACAACCAGCGAUUGACGUACGAGAAUUGUUAAAUAGCCGUGCGGUGCGCGUCGGACAACAAAGUGGUGUGCAUAAUAAUGCAAACGGCGGGGUGAAGUGCAAUCCGGUUAGUCGAAAAAGUUUGUGUAAAUAAAAAUAUAAAAAAAUUUCCAAUAGUAAAUGUGUACAAACGUAAACAUUUUUAUAAAAAAAAGAAAACAAAUAACAAAUUUUAAUUGAUCUACCCAUAAAGAGAUCAAAAAGUGUAUAUGCAGAUCUUCCUAAAUGAAAUUUUUUCUCCUUUAUAUUAACUCAUCUACAAAUUUUUCUGACAUAAUUUAAGCACCAUCUAAACAAAUCACAUUGGAAAGCGGCCGCUUUAGCUUUGUUAUUGUGUCUAAAGUGUUUUUACUAGCGUAUAUUCAUAUGCCCACCUUGCGCUUCCAAUUUUUCUACUGCAACAAUUGCCGCUUUACUUAAAAUCAACAGCUGUUACCUCAUAACUCCUCUAUAAUUUGUUUGUUUGUAAAAAAAAUAUCCGUUGUAAUCAAAGUAAAACGGGUGGGGAAAAAUAAUAAUUCUAUUAGUUUAGUAACAGAAUGCCCAAAUGCGACAUGAAGACUCGCUACAUUCCUGCUACAUUUGCCUGGAUUCUAUUGCUGUCCACGACGUUCCUCUUCUUUUUCUAUCCCUGCCAAUACUAUUUGAAAAGCCAUCUAUGGGUACCGGCAUAUCAGGGUGUCAUCACAUUUUUCGUUUUGGCCAAUUUCUCAUUAGCGACAUUCAUGGACCCCGGUGUCAUACCAAAAGCAUCGCCAGAUGAGGACCGGGAGGAGGAGUUUCGUGCACCGCUUUAUAAAAAUGCCGAAAUCAAUGGCAUCACCGUCAAGAUGAAAUGGUGUGUGACUUGUAAAUUCUAUCGUCCGCCACGCUGUUCACAUUGUUCCGUAUGCAAUCAUUGCAUAGAGACAUUCGAUCAUCAUUGCCCUUGGGUGAACAAUUGCAUUGGACGUCGCAAUUAUCGUUUCUUCUUCUUCUUUUUGGUUUCACUAUCCAUACACAUGCUGAGCAUAUUUUCAUUAUGCUUAUUUUAUAUAUUGAAGAUAACGCCAAACAUCAGGGAAACAUCGCCCAUAGUAGCUAUGGUGUUGAUGGCUAUAGUUAUAAUCCUAGCGAUUCCGAUUUUCGGGCUUACCGGUUUUCAUAUGGUGCUCGUAUCACGUGGGCGCACAACAAACGAACAGGUCACCGGCAAAUUCAAAGGUGGAUAUAAUCCAUUCUCACGUGGCUGCUGGCAUAAUUGCUGUUACACCCAGUGUGGACCACAAUAUCCAAGUCUUCUUAAGCCAGAAAAAUAUGCCGCUCGUCGCUCACACAAGGACGGUCAGGGUAUUAGUGUUAUCACCACCGAACGGCGGACGAAUCAACAGGGCAGCAGUAUGCGAGGCAACAACACACCCGGCAAUGUGCCACGUUCACCACGCGAAACGCUGAAAAACUAUUACGAUAGGGACAAUCGACACACUCAGGUAAAGACUUAUACGGACCAGGGCAAUGGUUAUAAUCAACGGUCGGGCAGCACAACGCUUUAUAGUAAGCUGUCGCCUGGACGUGAAUGUUCAGACACCGAUAUGGAGCCGCAGGCAUCGCAGAGUCAAGAUUGUGAGCCCACACCGCCACUGCAACGACACAAUUCGACAAAUUUCUACUUGCCCCAAGUGGAGGCAGGCGUGAGCAACAUGAAUAACGGUGGCAUAGCGACCGGUGCGGGCAUGAUGCCCAACGCUGGUGGAGGUGGCGGCGCAGGUGGUGGUGGUGGCGAUUCACCACGUCACAUGCGCAUGUAUCAUCCGCGACACAGUCCACUAGCGCGUCAGCGCGGUUUGGAGCCACAACGCGGCUAUAAUCCCGCCGAUCCAUUGUCGCCCGAUCAUCCCGCUCAUCCGGGCAAUCAGGGCGUACAGCAACAACAACGCAGUGGGACAACUGCAACGCCCACAAUGCAGCAACGAAUAAAACCGUUGGGUGUGGCAACACCACUGGUUAUGGCAAGUCCCGUCAGAAGUCAAUACUCAAAAAUAGAUCAGAAUUUGAACUGCUAAGCUUAAAGUAAACUGCUACACGCAAAAAAUGUGUUUAGAGUUAGAAGUGAAUUAAAUUUUAUUUAGUUCAAUAUUUUUAUUGAAAAUAAACGACAACCAAAUGUUUUAAAUCGACUUCUGACAUCUGUGUGUAUAUGUAUGAACUUUUUCCAAACCAACUAAUCCUACUAUAUACAACAACUACAACCGCUACUACUACUACUAUCAAUACAACAACAACCGCCACGACCAUCACGAUCACCAACCAACCAAUCAACCAACUACCACCACCUCCAUCCUAACGAGCUGCGACUUGAACUUCAACUUGCAACUUGAAUUGCAACAACCCGACUCUGACCGCGCUUGUGCACUCACACACACGUACACGCAUUCACCACCACAAGCUCCAACCGUUACUCAAGUCCAAGCUCAGCUUCAGCCUCAACUUCAAUUUCUGCUCAGCGAAGCUUAGUUUAAGCUUUACGUUGUUUAGCAAACAAAAAGUCAAAGUCGUUCGUUCGUUCGUACGCUCGCUCGUUCGUUCGUUUGUUUCCGUCGUACAGUUUCCGUCCAAAUCUUCUACCACCACUACCACCUACUACUACUCUGUUGCUAUAUUCAUUGGAGAUCCAAUCCUGGCACGCCCACCCAACCAAGACGACCCGACUUCAUUGGUCUAAAUACACAGCAGCAGCAGCAACAACAACAGC